rnacentral:rRNA from 1 species
GCUCACUGGAGCGCAACUGACGCUGAAGCUCGAAAGUGCGGGUAUCGAACAGGAUUAGAUACCCUGGUAGUCCGCACGGUAAACGAUGGAUGCCCGCUGUUGGUCUGAAUAGGUCAGCGGCCAAGCGAAAGCAUUAAGCAUCCCACCUGGGGAGUACGCCGGCAACGGUGAAACUCAAAGGAAUUGACGGGGGCCCGCACAAGCGGAGGAACAUGUGGUUUAAUUCGAUGAUACGCGAGGAACCUUACCCGGGCUUGAAUUGCAGAGGAAGGAUUUGGAGACAAUGACGCCCUUCGGGGCCUCUGUGAAGGUGCUGCAUGGUUGUCGUCAGCUCGUGCUGUGAGGUGUCGGCUUAAGUGCCAUAACGAGCGCAACCCCUCUCCUUAGUUGCCAUCAGGUUAAGCUGGGCACUCUGGGGACACUGCCACCGUAAGGUGUGAGGAAGGUGGGGAUGACGUCAAAUCAGCACGGCCCUUACGUCCGGGGCUACACACGUGUUACAAUGGCAGGUACAGAGAGACGGUCCCUUGCAAAAUGGAUCAAAUCCUUAAAGCCUGUCUCAGUUCGGACUGGGGUCUGCAACCCGACCCCACGAAGCUGGAUUCGCUAGUAAUCGCGCAUCAGCCAUGGCGCGGUGAUACGUUCCCGGGCCUUGUACUCACCGCCCGUA